GGUUGUUUGUGUAUCACUUUUCCCACCAGUUGUCUCCUUUUGAGGACUGCUUGAGCCUGCAGGCACUGCAACUGUACACCCCGCUGUGACUGAAGCACAGGGGCUGGGCUGCCUGACAGUGAAGGAGCAGUCAGGGCAUGGGGUGUGAGUUUAGAGAGAACUAUUUUGGGUUCAACCUCACAGAGGACUUGGAGGGAAUCCUUUACUCUCCCGGAACUUCAAUUUCUCAUUAAAAUGAGAGCUGGUGUUGAUGAAAGCUGAGAGUACUUUCUAUCCUAUUGUUAGAUUACUAACAACAAAAAUACCCAAGGCAAUGGUCUCCUGGGUGCUAAGCACUGGGAAGGAUCAGGAGCCAUCACAGCUUAAGUAGGUUUCCUGGUUUGUGUUACUGUUGCUGGGAUAAAAUACUGACCUUGGCUUUCCAAGGGUGGCUUUCACGUCUACAUUGAUGCCCCUGGAGUGAUAGUCAACGUUUUCUUUGCUGUUCAUUGUUGAACCAAUAAAGUCUGUGAACCC
rnacentral:lncRNA from 1 species